rnacentral:rRNA from 1 species
CCCUUAGAUGUUCUGGGCCGCACGCGCGCUACACUGACGAAUGCAACGAGCUUAUAACCUUGGCCGAAAGGUCUGGGUAAUCUCCAAAUUUCGUCGUGAUGGGGAUAGAUUAUUGCAAUUAUUAAUCUUCAACGAGGAAUGCCUAGUAAGCGCAAGUCAUCAGCUUACGUUGAUUACGUCCCUGCCCUUUGUACACACCGCCCGUCGCUCCUACCGAUUGAAUGGUCCGGUGAAGCGUUCGGACCGUGGCCUUUGGACGGUUCGCCGUCUGUUGGCUGCGGGAAGUUCGUUAAACCUUAUCAUUUAGAGGAAGGAGAAGUCGUANCA